rnacentral:rRNA from 1 species
CCAGAGUCUGAAUCAGCUUGUGUGUUAGUGGAACGGUCUGGAAAGUCCGACGGUACAGGGUGAUAGUCCCGUACACCAAAAUGCACAGGUUGUGAACUCGAAGAGUAGGGCGGGACACGUGGUAUCCUGUCUGAAUAUGGGGGGACCAUCCUCCAAGGCUAAAUACUCCUGACUGACCGAUAGUGAACCAGUACCGUGAGGGAAAGGCGAAAAGAACCCCGGCGAGGGGAGUGAAAAAGAACCUGAAACCGUGUACGUACAAGCAGUGGGAGCCUCUUUAUGGGGUGACUGCGUACCUUUUGUAUAAUGGGUCAGCGACUUAUAUUCUGUAGCAAGGUUAACCGUAUAGGGGAGCCGAAGGGAAACCGAGUCUUAACUGGGCGUUAAGUUGCAGGGUAUAGACCCGAAACCCGGUGAUCUAGCCAUGGGCAGGUUGAAGGUUGGGUAACACUAACUGGAGGACCGAACCGACUAAUGUUGAAAAAUUAGCGGAUGACUUGUGGCUGGGGGUGAAAGGCCAAUCAAACCGGGAGAUAGCUGGUUCUCCCCGAAAGCU